rnacentral:rRNA from 1 species
AUUGAACGCUGGCGGCAGGCCUAACCCAUGCAAGUCGAACGAGUGGCGGACGGGUGAGUAAUGUCUGGGAAACUGCCUGAUGGAGGGGGAUCACUAAUGGCAAAGGUAGCUAAUACCGCAUACCAUCAGAUGUGCCCAGAUGGGAUUAGCUUGUUGGUGGGGUAACGGCUCACCAAGGCGACGAUCCCUAGCUGGUCUGAGAGGAGGACCAGCCACACUGGAACUGAGACACGGGCCAGACGCCUACGGGAGGCAGCAGUGGGGAAUAUUGCACAAGGGGCGCAAGCCUGAUGCAUCCAUGCCGCGUGUAUGAAGAAGGCCGUCGGGUUGUAAAGUACGUUCAGCGGGGAGGCGUUACCCGCAGAAGAAGCACCGGCUAACUCCGUGCCAGCCGCCGCGGUAAUUC